rnacentral:misc_RNA from 1 species
UUUCCGUAGGUGAACCUGCGGAAGGAUCAUUAGUGAUUACAUGGGCGCUCCUUCAUCGAGGCCCGAAAUCAUUUUUCACUCACCUGUGCACCGUCUUUUUUUUUUAUCGCUCCUAUGGAUUUGGAUGUUAUAUCAAAAAGUUAUAAAACUUUCAGCAACGGAUCUCUUGGCUCUC